rnacentral:rRNA from 1 species
AUACGUAGGGGGCGAGCGUUAAUCGGAAUUACUGGGCGUAAAGCGUGCGCAGGCGGCUCACUAAGACAGAUGUGAAAUCCCCGGGCUUAACCUGGGAACUGCGUUUGUGACUACAAGGCUAGAGUGUAGCAGAGGGGGGUAGAAUUCCACGUGCAGCAGUGAAAUGCGUAGAGAUGUGGAGGAAUACCGAUGGCGAAGGCAGCCCCCUGGGCUAACACUGACGCUCAUGCACGAAAGCGUGGGGAGCAAACAGGAUUAGAUACCCUGGUAGUCCACGCCCCAAACGAUGUCAACUAGGUGUUGGGGAAGGAGACUUCUUUAGUACCGCAGCUAACGCGUGAAGUUGACCGCCUGGGGAGUACGGUCGCAAGAUUAAAACUCAAAGGAAUUGACGGGG